rnacentral:rRNA from 1 species
GCAAGUCGAACGAGAAAAUCCUCCGGGGAGAGUAAAGUGGCGCACGGGUGAGUAACGCGUAGGUGAUAUGCCUUCUAGUUGGGGACAACAGUUGGAAACGACUGCUAAUACCGAAUAAGCUGAUUACAUUAAAAAAAAUCAGGAAAGGGGGCUUAGGCUCUCGCUAAGAGAUUGGCCUGCGUGACAUUAGCUUGAUGGUGGGGUAAUGGCCUACCAUGGCUACGAUGUCUAACUGGUCUGAGAGGAUGAUC